CAUGACACACUUGACAGAUACACGGACAGAGGCAAAAAAGAAAAUCCCUUCCUUCUUAGUUUUAGCCAUAGCUCACCCCCAUUUUCCUCCAUGGAAGCCCCCCAAAACCUUCUCCAAAAGCACAAUUAAAACACCUUCAAAACAGUUCCGUUUAGCAUAAAAAAAAAUCAACCAAAACUCCAACUGAAAACCAGUCCAAAAUCACCUGAAAUCCAGCCCUAAAACACUUCAAAUCAGCUCCAAAAUCUCAUCCAAAACCAACCAAAAACGCAGCAGUCUUUCCCCGGGGAAAUUUCACUCAUCCCCGUCAUUUUAACUUCCAAAAACCAGCCGAGAAAAGCAGCGAAAAUCAGCUGCAAACCAGUCCAAAGAAGCUCCAAAUUUAGCUGAAAAAUAGCUCGAAAACAGCCCUCUUUCCUCACAAAACAAUAAUAUUUUGGUCGGGUUCAAGUCGAAUUUUCCGACUAGCUUUUCCCGGCGAGUUUCGAGGUUCCGACGUGGUCUUUUGUUAGCGGGUCUGCUCGUUGUUAGCUUCUUCAGCAUUCCUUUCUUUGUAUACUUUGAAAGCUAAUGAGAGGUCCGUUUUCUUUCACAUAUUUUUAGCUAUUUAGUACUUAGAUUUCGUUGAUAUAUGAAUACCUUUUUAGAUCUAGUUAUUUGCUUCAUGUUUGUUGAUUCGAUACUUUGAGGCAUGAUUUGAAUUAAUUAUAUGAAUUUUUGAAUCAUGUUUCAAUUUGAUUAAGUGCAUUGGAGUUAUAAGAAUAAUCUGUCAUAGUUUGGUUUUCUAACAAUUGGUUAUGGGUCGAAGUUAACUCAUUAAAUUGUUGGGCCAUAUGGUUUAAAUGUCACACAAACAAGGUUGGGCCGUAGGGUGUUGAGUUACGUUGCUUCGAAUUUGUCCGCUGGCUGUGGCGUGAUCCUGAAGCGGAGAUGAGAUUUUGGCCCAAUGAGUUUAGUUUGCCGGCCCAAUAAUUCUACUAUUUUCACAAUAGAUAAAUGCCUCGUAACUUCAAAACCACAAAUACUUUAAUAGUUCAUCUCGAUAAUAAUUUAUAGUGACCAAUUAGUAUACUUCAUCCACAAAUGACUUCCAUAGACUUUUGGCCUCACAAUAAUCUCAAAGUUUAGGAAGAACAAUAAACAUUGUAGUUUGCUUUAGGCGUGUAAUUAAAUCAUCACGGCUAUGGGUACGAUUUUCAUGGCAUAGUCGUGAUACCUAAUCCCCAAUUCGGGUGCGCAUUUCAUGUGACCCGACCAUAACUUCAAAUAAUAAUAAAAAUGAACAUGUUGUAAAUCGCGGGUGCGUUUCACGUGGCGCGAUUUGCAAUAUGUACCAAAACGACAAGUGUACGACAUUGUAACUUGUUCCAGCAAUAAUUCCAUAAGCAUUAAAAGGCGAUUAAAUUAAUUGAAAGCGGUUAGAAGUUAAAAAUGCACAAUAGGUUUCAAAUAUGUAUUAAAUUAGACAAUUAGGCCAAUUAUUACAGUUGAGCCGCCGUGCUAAAACCACGGAACUCGGGAGUGCCUCACACCUUCUCCCGGGUUAACAGAAUUCCUUACUCGAUCUUCUGUGUUCGUAGACCAUAAAUAGAGUCAAUUUCCUCGAUUUGGGAUUUAAAAUACACCGGUGACUUGGGAUACCAUAAAUUAUUACAAGUGGCGACUCUGAAUCAAUAAAUAAUCCCAUUUAGAUUAAUGUCACUUAAAAUUAAAAAACUCCCAUAUCCCCUCGGGAAAAAGGAGGUGUGACACACCUUAGCCAAACUUAACGGAAGAUGGGUAUAUUUGAACCAAUAGUAUAACGACAGGGGUAUAUUUGGACUCAAAGUAUAACGAGGGGUAUAUUUAAACCUUUUCUCAUAGUACAUGGGUAUAUUUGGACCUUUUCCGUAUGUAAAUUAGAUAGGGAGGGACCAAUUCCUAUUCGUAUUCAAAUUCACUAUGUAAGACGGUAAGAUUCACUCUCAAAAGGCAUCUAUCUAUAUAUAUUUAUAUAUAUAUAUAUAUAUCAAGUAGGGACAUGAAGGAGUGAUUUGGCACCUCUCUAAAGCCUAGUAUGUUAUUUAUCUUUUUUGUCAUUUUUUUUGCUUUUUUCCCUAAAUGUUUCCUUUAAAAACUUAAUACUCCUGUGAAAGUCCAAAAGUCACGACUAAUUAAAACCAACGUUUCAGCCGCUCCCCUCAAUAUGGAUAACCGAAAAGCCUAAUUACUUCUAUGCAACGCUUCAUAAUUCACGAGGAAAUCCACGGGGUAUGAAAUUUCAAGUUUGAUUGUGUCAAUUGUCGGAGCAAAUCUUAACAGUGUAACGAACAAUGAGUCCAAGCAGAUAUUCCGGUGACGAAGCUUCUCACCUUCUCCUUUUCAUCUUAUUUUCGUAUUAACUUUUGAGAUUAAUUAGGGUUCUUUAGCCAAUGUUGCAUAUUGGUUGAAAGUCGUGCACGAUAGUUUGCUUUUUAUUACAUCUUGUGUUGCUAAAGUUUGCAGAUAUUUUAAAUUAAUUAUUAGAAGUAGAGUUUCCUACAAAAUUAUCAUGGAUGCUCGUAGAAACCUUAGGAUUUUUUUCCAUGGGUUUUAAUUGUUGACUAUAAAAUUUUUGUGUAUGAUAAAUAAGGGGAGUUAGGUUAUUCACAAAUUCUUUAAUUGUAUAUGGAUUUUCAUUAAAAUCUGUGAAUACGUUCAUUUUUACUAUAUGGUUCUCCAAUUGAUGUUUGGAUAAUAAUGAAUUUUUUUCACAAUUUUCUGUAUAUUCUGCUCGAUAUCUGCUUCUUUUUUAUGUUUUUGGGUAACUCUAUCUGCUUAUUGUUUGAGAACAACUAAAAUCGUUGUUGUAGAUUUUUUCUGAUGCAGAAGAAAAUACAAAAUGAGGAGAUGCAAAGAAAUGGGACUGAAUGAUACAAUCACUCCCUUCCGUUAAAUUUAACAUUCAGGUAUUCUUUUUGAAGCUUUUACCCCCUCAUCUUGAGUAACUACUCGAUUACUUCCCCUAUUCCAUACAACCAUGUUCCUUUUUCCAUUAAAUUCCACCGCUUCAUUGAUUUAUUUUCUUAUUUUUAUUACUGUAGGUCUAACAUAAAUAUAAUAGAUGGCAAAGGAAUUCUUGAAGAGCUCCAAAGGUCACAAGCAUACUCACAAUAACUCGCCAGUGCCAAAAAUUCAAAGGAAGAGCGUUGACGAGUGAGUUUCGGUUCUCAUAACGGUUAAAAUAAUGUCAAGAAUUAGGUUCAUUUCUAUAUUAGUCCGAAGGAUUAAAAUACCCCAAGAAUAAUUUAGGCACAAGCAAAAAAUUCAACAAAGAUUAUAUAGAAGAAAUUUAUUAAACUAGGGAGAGAACGUGGUAAGAGACUUUUUCACAACUCAUAAACUCUUGAAUCUCUCUACAAGAAAAAUACCCCUAUUUAUAAUACUAUAAAACCAAAAACCUAUUCCAACAUAAAAUUGGUAAACAAAACCUAACUAGACAUGAAUUAAACAAACUACCAAAUAUCAAAUCCUAAACAACUUAGGAAUACUAAUUAAUCUUGAUUUAGUUUCCAACAACCUCCCUUAAAUCAAGAGCUUCAAAUUUGAUCAUGCCCAACAUCUUCUUCAACUUGAUAAAUAACUCCAAUUUUAGUGGCUUUGUGAAAACAUCAGCAACUUGCUCUCCGGUCUUGCAAUACUCAAUAACCAUCUCCUUGUCUUGAACCAAGUCAUGAAUAAAGUAAAAUUUGAUAUCAAUGUGUUUGCUACGCCCAUGAAAAACUGGAUUCUUUGUUAACUCAAUUGCAGAUUUGCUAUCACAAAAAAUUAUUGUAGGAUUGUCUUGCUUGUGUUGAAGAAAUCCAAGCAUUCUUCUUAACCACAAUGCUUGUGUAGCACUACUUAUUGCAGCCAUGUAUUCUGCUUCAGCUAUUGAUAAAGCAACAACUUGUUGCUUUUUGGAAGACCAAGAAAAUACACCAGAACCCAAAUAAAAUGCAUAGCCAGAAGUACUUUUUCUUUGUAUUGUAUCACCAGCCCAAUCACUGUCUGUAAAUCCCACAAGACUACCAUCAUUAGUUUUUGAAUAAAAUAUACCAUCAGUCUGCCUACCUUGAAUAUAUCUCAAAAUUCUCUUUGCUGCUUGCAAGUGGGAUUGUCGUGGAGUCUCCAUAAAUCUGCUAAUUAAUCCAACUCCAUAAGUAAUAUCAGGCCUUGUAGAAGUCAAGUACCUUAGACUCCCUACCAAUUUUCUAAAAUAUGUAGCAUCAACAAAGUCACCAGUCCCAUCUCUAACCAACUUCAAUUUUUCUUCAACAGGGGUCAAAAUUGGUUUGGCUUUAUCCAUAUUAAAUCUCUUUAGAAUAUCACCGGUAUCACGACCCAAAAUCCACUAAAGGUCGCGAUGGCGCCUAACACCACUGUCAGGCAAGCCAACAGUGGAUGAUUAACUAAAUUACUCAUUUUAGUAUUUUUGAAAUCAGAAUUUCAUCAAUUAAGUAGUAAGAAAUAGAAUUUUACAUGGUAACUGAUAAUAUGUUCACGACUACAACAAUGAACCACCCAUAAGCACCCCCAAAAUCCGGUGUCACAAGUACAUGAGAAUCAACUAGGAAAUAUAAUAUAAUUCAACAUCUGUCUGGAAUACCAAUUAGACAGGAGAGUAUAGAUAACUCUGAUAAAGACUCUACAGGCUGCGAAUCGUAACAUAAAAUGUAGCUCAUGGUAAGUCCCCGCAACAUCCGCGUCUCUACGCCCAAAAGACCGUCAGACAUAUAUGUACCUGCACAAAAAUAUAGAGCAAGUGUAGCAUGAGUACAUAAAUCAAUGCGUACCCAGUAAGUAUCUAGCCUAACCCCAGAGAAGUAGUGACGAGAGGUCGACAUCGAUGCUUACUAGUGGUCCAAUAAGGCAAAUACAGUAAGAAGUAAAACAAAUAUGGGGCAAAAUAAAUACGCGAAUUAAACAAAUAUAAAUAUNNNNNNNNNNNNNNNNNNNNNNNNNNNNNNNNNNNNNNNNNNNNNNNNNNNNNNNNNNNNNNNNNNNNNNNNNNNNNNNNNNNNNNNNNNNNNNNNNNNNNNNNNNNNNNNNNNNNNNNNNNNNNNNNNNNNNNNNNNNNNNNNNNNNNNNNNNNNNNNNNNNNNNNNNNNNNNNNNNNNNNNNNNNNNNNNNNNNNNNNNNNNNNNNNNNNNNNNNNNNNNNNNNNNNNNNNNNNNNNNNNNNNNNNNNNNNNNNNNNNNNNNNNNNNNNNNNNNNNNNNNNNNNNNNNNNNNNNNNNNNNNNNNNNNNNNNNNNNNNNNNNNNNNNNNNNNNNNNNNNNNNNNNNNNNNNNNNNNNNNNNNNNNNNNNNNNNNNNNNNNNNNNNNNNNNNNNNNNNNNNNNNNNNNNNNNNNNNNNNNNNNNNNNNNNNNNNNNNNNNNNNNNNNNNNNNNNNNNNNNNNNNNNNNNNNNNNNNNNNNNNNNNNNNNNNNNNNNNNNNNNNNNNNNNNNNNNNNNNNNNNNNNNNNNNNNNNNNNNNNNNNNNNNNNNNNNNNNNNNNNNNNNNNNNNNNNNNNNNNNNNNNNNNNNNNNNNNNNNNNNNNNNNNNNNNNNNNNNNNNNNNNNNNNNNNNNNNNNNNNNNNNNNNNNNNNNNNNNNNNNNNNNNNNNNNNNNNNNNNNNNNNNNNNNNNNNNNNNNNNNNNNNNNNNNNNNNNNNNNNNNNNNNNNNNNNNNNNNNNNNNNNNNNNNNNNNNNNNNNNNNNNNNNNNNNNNNNNNNNNNNNNNNNNNNNNNNNNNNNNNNNNNNNNNNNNNNNNNNNNNNNNNNNNNNNNNNNNNNNNNNNNNNNNNNNNNNNNNNNNNNNNNNNNNNNNNNNNNNNNNNNNNNNNNNNNNNNNNNNNNNNNNNNNNNNNNNNNNNNNNNNNNNNNNNNNNNNNNNNNNNNNNNNNNNNNNNNNNNNNNNNNNNNNNNNNNNNNNNNNNNNNNNNNNNNNNNNNNNNNNNNNNNNNNNNNNNNNNNNNNNNNNNNNNNNNNNNNNNNNNNNNNNNNNNNNNNNNNNNNNNNNNNNNNNNNNNNNNNNNNNNNNNNNNNNNNNNNNNNNNNNNNNNNNNNNNNNNNNNNNNNNNNNNNNNNNNNNNNNNNNNNNNNNNNNNNNNNNNNNNNNNNNNNNNNNNNNNNNNNNNNNNNNNNNNNNNNNNNNNNNNNNNNNNNNNNNNNNNNNNNNNNNNNNNNNNNNNNNNNNNNNNNNNNNNNNNNNNNNNNNNNNNNNNNNNNNNNNNNNNNNNNNNNNNNNNNNNNNNNNNNNNNNNNNNNNNNNNNNNNNNNNNNNNNNNNNNNNNNNNNNNNNNNNNNNNNNNNNNNNNNNNNNNNNNNNNNNNNNNNNNNNNNNNNNNNNNNNNNNNNNNNNNNNNNNNNNNNNNNNNNNNNNNNNNNNNNNNNNNNNNNNNNNNNNNNNNNNNNNNNNNNNNNNNNNNNNNNNNNNNNNNNNNNNNNNNNNNNNNNNNNNNNNNNNNNNNNNNNNNNNNNNNNNNNNNNNNNNNNNNNNNNNNNNNNNNNNNNNNUAUAUAUAUAUAUAUAUAUAUAUAUAUAUAUAUAUAUAUAUAUGGGUCGCCAUAAUUUAAAUAAGGAAAACUCCUAGAUACACUUGCCCUUUGUACAAUUAAUACGCACGAUUCCAUAAAAGGAUUUUUCAGAAAUGCCGAGGCGUACAGCCCGAUCCCAUCAUAAUCUGGUAUAUAACCAUAGAUACAUCUAUUAUAUAUAAUGUCGAGGCGAACGGCCUAUUCCCAUGAGAGUGUGGUACAUAAUCCUGCCGAGGUGACCGACCUGAUCCCAUAAAGUGUUUGCACUGCCGAGGGUCGAACGACACGAACCAUAGAUGUAUCUAUCUUGCCGAGGCGAACGGCCCGAUCCCAUUAGAAUAAGAAAGCUUUGAUGGUAUACUCUAAUACUCAUAAUAAAUUAAUUUAUAACAAUCCCCAACUCCGUUCGAAAAGUCAAUAAAGUCGACCCUUGGGCCCACGUGGCCGGAUUUCAAAUAUUUUUUAAAAUAAAUAUUACCCAUAACUCAUAUGGUCUAUAUCCAGAAAAUCAUCCAAUUUCAUCCAUAAAUGACCCUCAAAUCAAGGAUUUACCAUUUCUCAACUUUGUGGCUCAAAAUUCCAAUUUCUACAAUUCAAAUACGGAUAAAAAUAAUAACCAAUGGAAAUAAUGAUGUAGAAACAUCAAAAUAAAGGUCAGAUAUUUACCCCCUUGUUGAUACGAGAACAACGCCGCGAAAAUCACCUCAAACGAAGCUCUAGAACUCAAGAUAUGCCCAAAAUACCAAAAUAACACGGUCUGAUUUUUAUAUACUCAGGGAUUUUCACUUUUCCGACAAAACAUCCGCACCUGCGCAUUUUCAGCUGUAAUUUCCGCUUUUGCGGAUUAAUUUUCGCACAUGCGGGGUCGCAGAUGUGGACCCAACUUCGCAUCUGCGAAGCACCGGCACCAGCUCAUUCUCUGACACUAAAAUGAGCAUAACUUCCUCAUACGAUGUCCAAAUUCGACGAUUCAUUUUGCUAUGGCUCCGUAAUUACGAUACGGAUCUAAUACUUCAAUCAAAACAGAAAUUGGAUCUCAUUUGAUUAAUGUGGUACCAUUUAUGCUUGAAGAAACGAAGUCGAAACAUCAACAACGAGCGCAACACAACCCAAACCUAUUCGAAACUCAUCCGAGCCUCUCGGGACCACGUCCGAACAUACCAAUAAGUCCCAAAAUAUAAUGUGGACCUGCUCGAGGCCUCAAAUCACAUCAAACAAUAUCAAAAUUACGAAUCGCACCUCAAAUCGAACUUAAUGAACUUAUGAACUUUCAACUUCUAUAACUCGCGCCGAAACAUAUCAAAUCAAUCCGGAACAACUUCAAAUAUUGCACACAAGUCCCAAAUGACAUCACAGACCUAUUUCAACUUUCAGAAUCGAGAUCCGACCCCGAUAUAAAAAAGUCCACUCCCGGUCAAACUUUCCAUAAACCUUCAAAUUUUUAACUUUUGCCAAAUGACCUCGAAAUGACCUACAGACCUCCAAAUCCAUAUCCGGACGCGCUCCUAAGAUCAGAAUCACCAUAUGGAGCUAUUCCCAGGUUCGGAAUUCCAAAUGGACAUUGAUAACAUUAAAAUACACUUCAACCCAAAUUUAUAAAAAUUCUUCCAAAAUGCCAACUUCCCACAAUAAGCGCCUUAAUGCUCCUGGGUCAUCCAAAACCCGAUCCGGAUAUACGCCCAAGUCCACAAUCAUCAUACGAACCUAUUAGAACCUUCAAAUCCUGAUUCCAAGGUCGUUUACUCAAAAAUCCAACCUUAGUCAAUUCUUCCAACUUAAGGCUUCCAAAAUGAGGAUUUUCUUUCCAAAUCAACUCCGAACUUUUCGAAAUUAAAUUCCGACCACACGCAACUCAUAAUAACUAAAGUGAAGCUUCUUAAGGACUCAAACCACUGAAUGACGUGCUAGGGCUCAAAACGACCGGUCGGGUCGUUACAACCGACAUAUUUUUCUGAGAGAUAAAUAUUCUAUUAUCUAAUUGAGAUACCUCAAUGCCAAGAAAAUAAGACAUUAAACCCAAAUCAGUCAUCUCAAACUGGCUAAUCAUUGCCUCUCUAAACUCAAAAAUUAAUUUAGGAUUAUUGCCAGUAAAAAUUAAAUCAUCCACAUAUAAGCACACAAUGAGAAUAUCUUCGUCGGGCUUAAAUUUGAUAUAUAAAGUAUGCUCAUAUGGACAUCUUUGAAAUCCAUGUCCAAUAAAAUAAGAAUCAAUACGAGUGUACCAAGCUCUAGGUGCUUGUUUCAAUCCAUAUAAUGCCUUUAUCAGCCUAUAAACUUUAUUUUCUUGACCCCUUUUGACAUAACCAGCAGGCUGGUCAACAUACACUUCUUCUUCAAGUACACCAUUUAAGAAAGAAGAUUUCACAUCCAUUUGAAAUUUUUUCAGCAAUUAUUGGCAACAAGAAAAAUUUUCAUACGAAUAGUAUCAAGUCUAGCAACAGAUGCAAAUACUUUAAAGUAAUCAAUACCUGCCUUCUGCUUGUAUCCUUUAACAACUAAUCUUGCCUUAAAGCGAUCCACUUCUCUAGUUGGUUUGAACUUGGUCUUGUAUACCCACUUGACUCCAAUUGGUCUUUUUGAGAGUAGUAACGUAGUCAAUUCCCAUGUAUUAUUUUUCUCAAUAGCAUGAAUUUCUUCAUUCAUUGCAUGAACCUAUCAAUCAUCUUUAACAACUUUCUCAAAAGUAGCUGGAUCAUAAUCUGCAAAUAAGGCAAAAUUUACAAUAUCUUCAUCGGAUAAAUCAUUAUCAUCGCCAACAACAUAAUCUUGCAAACGAGAUGGUAAUUGGUGUUGUCUUUGCGGGUGACUGGACAUCUCUGCUUGAACAGGAUCUACCGCACGUUCCUCUUGAUGUCUGUUAGAACUUCCUUCCUCUAUGAUUGGAAUUAUUGGUUGAGACCUAGAUGGUUCAGAAUCCUUCUUUGACCAAUGCCAAGAACUCUGCUCAUCAAAAGUAACAUCUCUGCUAAUAAUCACUUUUUCUGUAUCUGGAUUAAACAACUUGUAACCCUUUGUCUCAUGACUAUAACCAAUAAAAAUAUACUUUUCAGCUUUAUCAUCCAAUUUCUUUCUUAAAGCAUCAGGAACAUGAGCAUAAACAAGAAAACCAAAUGCUUUUAGAUAAGAAAUAUUUGGUUUCUUACCUGUCCAGAUCUCUUGUGGAGUUUUUUCAAGAUUAGACCGUGUAAGACACCUAUUUAAUACAUAAAUUGCACAGGAAACAACAUUUUCCCAAAGACCUUUUGGAAUAUUUUUGGAAUGCAUCAUAAAUCUCACCAUGUCCAUCACUGUUCUAUUUUUUCUCUCAGCCACACCAUUUUGCUGAGGUGUAUAUCUAGAUGUCAAUUGAUGCUUAAUACCAUACUUCUUCAAAUAAUCAUCACAAACAAGAAAUUCAGUGCCCAUACCAGUCCUCAAUAUUUUAAUAAAAUACCCACUUUGCUUCUCCACAUAAACUUUGAAGCUCUUAAAAAUAUCACAUGGAUCAAAUUUAUUUUUCAGAAAAUACACCCAAGUCUUUCGGCUGAAAUCAUCAAUGAAAGUAAUAAAAUACUUACUACCACAAUUAGAAGAAACUUCAACUGAGCAUAAAUCUGAAUGAAUUAACUGCAAUGGUGCAUUAGCUCUCCAAGCCUUGCAUUUCUGAAAAGAUUCUCUGUAUUUCUUUCCCAAAAUACACGACUCACAAUUCUUGUCAGGAAAAUCAAUAGAAGGCAAACCAUUAAUCAAAUUAUUUCUUGCAAGAAAUUUCAAACUCCCAAAAUUCAAAUGCCCAAGACAUAGAUGCCACAACCCAAGUAUCAUCACAGUUUAUAGAAAUAAAGCAAGGUAAAUCAUCACCAUUGAGAUAAAGAGGCCACAAACGACUACUGUUCAUGUUAAACUUUGCAAUUAGUCCAAAUUUAUCAUCAUUGAUUGUGCCAAUCCUAUAGUUAAAACGCAAAUCAUACCCCUCUUCUGAUAGUUUCUCCAAGCUCAAUAAAUUAUGAUGAAUACUCGGCACAUAAAACACAUCUGAUAUAAAAUUAGAAGAACCAUCUUUCACAAUAAUGCGAAUUUUUUCCAUUCCAACAGCAGACACCCAUGCGUUAUUUCCAAGUCUUACUGUACCUCUUAAUGUUUCAUCUAGAUCAGUGAAUAAUUUUUUAUUUCCACUCAUAUGAUUGUUGCAGCCCAAAUCAAUAAAGCAUUCAUUCCCUUUAGUUUCUUCAACCCCAGAACUAGAAAACAAUAAAGUCUCUUGUUUAUCUCUAUUAUUUUCAGCCAUCUUAGCAUGUACUUCUUUAUUACCAUAUUUAUUAGACCAACAUUCGCUUUCAUAAUGUCCAAAUUUAUCACAAUUAUAGCACUGAAUCUUAGAUUUAUCACGUCUUUGAAAAUUUUGAUAACUGUCACGACCCAAAAUCCCACCACAGGCGUCGUGAUGGCACUUAGUCUCUAAGACUAAAUAAGCCGAUUACAAUUACAAUUCAAGCCAUAUUUUUAAAAUAGAAACUAACAACGGAAAUAGUUACAAACAACCUCCCAAGACCGGUAAUACUGAGUCACGAACUCUAACUGAAUACAUGAAAUGAUCUCAAGGAUCGAAUACUCAAUACUGUUUGAUUAAUAAUUAACAAUACAAUAAAAUGGAAAGACUUCAAGGGACUGCGACGACCAAGUAACUCUACCUUGAAUCCUUGCGAUCACACUCUAACUCUGUCCGAGUCCGAUAGCUCUAAUACCUGGCUCUGCACAAAAAUGUGCAGAAGUAUAGUAUGAGUACACCACGGUCAGUAUCCAGUAAUUAUCAAGCCUAACCUCAGUGGAGUAGUGACGAGGUACAGUCAAGACACUCAUUAGUCUAAUAACCUGUGCAAUAUAGUAUACAAAAAUAAUAGGAAAUAAAUAACAAUGAUGGCAACAAUAUUCAACCAGUGAUAUACACAGUAGGGCAACAAGAACACCAUAAAUAUUGCUCAACAAAUAAUGAAUACAAGUACAACCAAUUAAUCAAGUCCUUCAAAUAUAAAUCUUUUGCCUAUUUUUUUUUUCAAAUAAUAAUCUUCAGUAUAUAAUACUCUCCAGUAAAUAUAUUUCGAAUAUACUCCCUUCAAAUAAAUAUCUUUCAAAUAUAAUUCUUUCAAAUAACUCUCUUUCAAAUAUAAUUCUUUCAAAUAAAUAUCUUUCGAAUAAAAGUCACCAUGUGACACCUCAUUUCAAAAUCAUAAAAAUACUGGUCUCAACCCACUUUCAUAUUUUCACGGCACCUCGUGCCAAUUUCUCUAUCACAACCGCACGGACAACUCACGUGCCAAUAUCAUCAUCAUUUACUCACGGCACCUCGUGCCCACAUUUCAUAUCACAACUGCACGGACAACUCACGUGCCAAUAUCAUUAUUAUUUACUCACGACACCUCGUGCCCAUAUUUCAUUUCAUAAUCUGCCUGGCAAUAGCCACAUGCUCUCAAUUUCAAUAUAGAUCAGACUAUUAUCAAUUUACCAAUAACAAGACAAAUUGCACAAGAUAUAAAAAUAAACACAAGAAAAAUAACAACAUCUGUUUGAACUUAGUUCAUUAAUUAUUUGCAGAUGAAAAACUCCAUAAUAUAAUUAUUUUCAGGAAAUAUCAAACCAACAAACUCCCGGAAUUUACAUAAAUAUUCAAGUAAAAAUCACAUCAAAUUGUCAUAUAAAAAUAAAUUCAACAAAUAAGGAUUGAGGCAUGGCAAAUUGAUGAUUUAAUAAAUGCCAACAAUUAUCCAACACAACAAUGCCUAAGACUUUAACCUAAUAAAAUUUGCACAUAUAAGCCCGAGUACGUACUCGUCACCCCGCGUACACGGCUUUUCACAUUUCACAAAUGGCACACAAGACUCGAUGCCUAAGGGAUAAUUCCCCCACUCAAGGUUAGACAAGAUACUUACCUUUUUGAAGUUAUGCUGAUAUUCCAAAAUUACCUUCUUGCUUGAAUUGACCUCCGGACAGCUCAAAUCUAUCCAAACUAAUUGUAUAACUUCAAUAAAAUUCAUCGAAAAUAAUUCCGGAUAAUAAAAUGGCAACUUAAAAUUUCACAUUAAAAAGUCAACGCAGGGCCCGACUCUCGGAACCCGACAGAAUUUUUACGAAAUCCAAACACCCAUUCCGAUACUAGUUUAACCAUACCAAAUUUACCAAAUUUCGAUAACGAAUCCACCUCCAAAUCUUAAAUUUUUAUUUUAUAAAAUUUCUACAAUUUUCCCCAAAUUUUCAUCUCAAAAUACUAAUUAAAUGAUAAAAAUAAUGAUAUAUUCAUGUAUAUUAACCAAAUCCGAGUUAGAAUUACUUAUCCCGACGAUUUUCUUAAAAUUCCCACGAACAAUCGCCACAAACCGAGCUCCCAAAGUCCAAAAAUGAAAAAUGAGAUGAAACCCUCGUUCAUAUAGUAAAAAAUCUGAUCCCCAUUGUGCUGACAACACAUUUUCUUAUGCGGUCGCACAUCCCAGGUGCUGCGGUCACACUCCAAAUUGUGCGGCCGUACUUCUGCAACUUUGCACUACCAGGCUUCAGUAUAUUGACCAUAACUUUCUCUACAAAUGUCCAAAUGAUGAUUGGUUUACCUUUCUAGAAACUAGAUUCGAAGAGCUAUGAUUUUGUUUUAGAAUCAUCUCCAAAUUCCUUGUAGAGUAAACGAUAUAAGCCUCCGAAGUCGGACCAGCGAACCAGCGAAAUCACCUUUCUGCGGCCGCGAGAAGAAUUCUGCGGACCGCACAAUUACCACUGCCUAAUUUAGCUACGGGCUUCCAAAUGAUUUUCCGGAUACGCUCCUAAGUCCAAAAUCACCAUACGGAGCUAUUGGAAUCAUCAAAACUCUAUUCCGGGGUUGUUUUCUCAAAAGUCAACUCUCCGGUUAACUCUUUUCUUUUAAGCUUCUUAAAUAAGAAUUGUUCUUUCUAUUUAAUCCUGAAUUAUCCGAAAACCAAACUCGACCACACACGCAAGUCAUAAUACACAUCACAAAGAUGCUCAUCAUCUUAAGUCGCUGAACGAGACGCUAAUUAUUAGAACGACAAGUCGGGUCGUUACAUUCUCCCCCCUUAAACAUACAUUCGUCCUCGAACGUGCCAAGAAUUAUUCCGAGGACAUUAAAUUAUUGAGUGUAUUCUUACACACAUACUCGUAGGUGAUUCUACGUCACCGCAAAUUUAACAUGGGUUUGACAACACCAUCUCAGUUGAGAUUAUUUCCUUUUAUCCAUAUUUAUACACUUUUAAAACCAAUUUCUUAAAAGUUAACUCCCCGAUCAAACUUCCAAACUUAAAUUUUUAUUUUAUCCAUUUCAAGGCUAAUUUAGCUAUGGGCUUCCAAAUGAUUAUUUGGAUAUGCUUCUAAGUCCAAAAUCACUAUACGGAGCUAUUGGAAUCAUCCAAACUCUAUUCCGGGGUCGUUUUCUCAAUAGUCAACUCUCCGGUCAACUCUUUUCUUUUAAGCUUCUUAAAUAAGAAUUGUUCUUUCUAUUUAAUCCUGAAUUAUCCAAAAACCAAACUUGACCAUACACGCAAGUCAUAAUAUACAUCGCAAAGUUGCUCGUGACCUUAAGUCGCUGAAGGAGAUGCUAAUUAUUAGAACGACAAGUCGGGUCGUUACAUUUUCCUCCUCUUAAACGUACGUUCGUCCUCGAACGUGCCCAGAAUUAUUCCGAGGACAUUAAAUUACUGAGUGUAUUCUUACACACAUACUCGUAGAUGAUUCUACGUCACCGCAAAUUUAACAUGGGUUUGACAACACUAUCUCAGUUGAGAUUAUUUCCUUUUAUCCAUAUUUAUACACUUUUAAUACCAAUUUCUUACACUCCAAACAUUUUCAAAAGGCCUCAUUUUCACAUCAACGCACGAUAUUAGUUUCAACUGUCUGUAGCAACUCGUGCCUACGCACACGUCAUACGUAUGCCCAUAACCACACCUCUGGUCAUAAUAGUUGUUCAUAAUUAAUUCCAGCAUCCUCAUUUAACCUCAUAUUAAUCAAACCCUCUUUCAAAGUUUCGCAAUACUGAUAGCAAUUUUCCCGAAUUAACGAGUCACAUUUAACGCCACAUGGGCACUCACAUCCUGGGGCUAAAACUUCAAUAUUUACAACACAAUUAUGGCUAAAUAUGCAUAUAAAUACAUAAAAGAAUUAUCAAAUAAUCCUAACAGGCAUGACUCCCUAUCGGUACUAUAGUACAAUUUAAAUUUCACAAAUGGAGAAUUUACACUCAUAAUUUUUUCACCACAAGGACCUCUUCCUUAUAUAACUUCCACCGCGGCUUAUAGCCCAAUUUAAAUAUUUCACAUCAUAUAAAAAUGCGAGGAUCUCAUCCUCAACUCCGAGUCACAAGUAUUUUGCACAUUGUGCCAACUGAAAAUUUUCCAUUUCCUUUCUUUCUUUCUUUCUUUCUUUCUUUUAAUAAAUUCCGUAAAUAAGUUUCACAACACAUAAUGAAACCACAUUCCAAUAGGACAUAUAAUUCAUAAAAUUGAAAUAAAUUAUUCUGAAUUCGCAUCAAAACCCACUGUAGUGAGUAAUAAAAAGUCACUUUUGGACUUAUAGUCCUCAAUGGUGUACAAAAAUAAAAAUGAUAGACACGGGCUAACAUCAUCAAACCUCCCAACCGGGAUAAACAUAUAAGUGGGUCACAAAAUUACGAAGUUCACCCAUAAGCGGAGCAUAAUAUGAGGACUCGCCUCAAUAUUCAGAACCGAAUCAAUUAAGGAAAAAUAUCCUUUUAUAACAAAUAAGGAUCAUACCUGUAACGACACCAUUUGGUGUAGUGGUCUCAGCCAUACUAUAGCAAAUAUAUCAACGGGCUGGGCCUCUCCCUCUAGGGCACCCUCUACCUGCCUGUCCUUCACCCCUAACUGGUUGUACACGCGGGGUAGUAACUGCAUUGGGGCCCAUAGCUUGAGUGUUCUGAUAAAAUCCACCCCUCCCAAGUCUGAGACAAUAUCUCAUGAUGUGCCUAGUAUCACCACACUCAUAACAACCCCUCUGAGGUCGCGCCUUCUCGUACUGAGUCUGUGCCGAAUAACUAAAAUAACCACUGUAAGAAUUUCGUGUCGGUGGUGUACUAUAAGAACUUACUGGAGCACUCCGAGUAAUCUGAUGUGCGGACUGAGCUGGCCAACUGUUCGAGCGUCCGCCAUAAUGGGUCAUAGCUGAAGAGUAAAAUCCACUGAACCCUCUAGAGCUUCGAGACCUUUUGGCCUCCUUAGACUCCUUUUUCUCACCUAGAACACCCUCAAUCCUCCUCGCAAUCUCCACUACUUGCUGAAAUGGAGUAUCAGUUUGCAACUCUCGAGCCAUGUAUAUUUUAAGAUCAUAAUCGAGCCCCUCAAUGAAUCUGCGUACCCGCUCUCGGACUGUAUAUACCAAGAUAGGUGCGUGUCGGGCUAACUCACUAAACCUAGUAGCAUAUUUUGACACCGUCAUGGUGCCCUGACGCAACCUUUCAAACUCUGUGUGCCAAGCAUCCCGGAGAAUCUGGGGAAAAGACUUUUUCAAAAACAUUUUCGAAAAUUGAAACUCUGUGUGCCAAGCAUCCCAGAGAAUCUGGGGAAAAGACUUUUUCAAAAACAUUUUCGAAAAUUGAGCCCAAGUUGGUGGUACUGCAUCGGCUGGUCUACCUUCUUCAUAAACUUUUCACUAUUGAUACGCUGCUCCUGACAACUGAAAUGUAGUAAAGGCAACUCCACUCACUUCCACAAUACCCAUGGUGCGGAGAAUACGAUGAUACUUUUCUAGAAAUCCCUGGGCAUUCUCGGUAGCUGUGCCACUAAACGUAUGUGGACAAUACCUCUUAAAUCUCUCAAGUCUCUUUUGUUCUUCUUCUGACGUCUCUGGCCUGACCUUAUGCUCAACCGGAAUAAUAGGUUGUACUGGUACUAUACAUGGAACUUGACCAAUGUGAACCCGCUGCUCUGGAGUACGGGCGGUAGGAGUCUGAGCUCAUCCCCCAAUCUGUGAAAUAUUUGGCGAAACGGAGAUCAAUCCUGCCUGAAUCAAUGUACCAAACAUGUUCAGGAACUGUGCUAAAGUCUCCUGAAGUCCAGGGGUAACAACAGGUGUCUCUGGUACUUGUCCUCCAACUGGAGCUACUGGUGGCUCCUUGAGUGCAGCUCUGACAGGUGCUCUAGCCGCACGUGCCCUUCCUCGGCCUCUACUUCGGCCUCAGCCUUUUGCGGCCCUAGCAGUAUGCGUGGGUGUUUUCUCAGCUGACCCAGUAGCACGUGUCCUGGCCAUUUGUGAGAGAAUAGGGACACAAAGGCUCAAAUUCCAAAAUCAACAAAUUCGCACGAUAGGAAUGAAAGAAGUGGAAAUUUCCUAACAGUUCCGUAGCCUCUUGAAGAUAAGUACAGACGUCUCCGUACCGAUCCGCAAGACUCUACUAGACUCGUUCGUGACUCGUAGAACCUAUGAACCUAGAGCUCUGAUACCAACUUGUCACGACCGAAAUUCCCACCACAGGUGUCGUGAUGGCACAUAGUCUCUAAGACUAAGUAAGCCGAUUAUAAUUACAACUCAAGCCAAUUUGUUUUUAAAUAGAAACUAACAGCGGAAAUAGUUACAAACAACCUCCUAAGACUGGUAAUACUGAGUCACGAACUCUAACUGAAUACAUGAAAUGAUCUCAAGUAUCGAAUACUCAAUACUGUUUGAUUAAUAAUGAACAGUACAAUAAAAUAGAAAGACUUCAUGGGACUGCGACGACCAAGCAACUCUACCUUGAAUCCUUGCGAUCACACUCUAACUCUGUCCGAGUCCGAUAACUCCAAUACCUGGCUCAACACAAAAAUGUGCAGAAGUGUAGUAUGAGUACACCACAGUCGAUACCCAGUAAGUAUCAAGACUAACCUCAGUGGAGUAGUGAUGAGGUACAGUUGAGACACUCACCAGUCUAAUAACCUGUGCAAUAUUGUAUACAAAAAUAAUAGGAAACAAAUAAUAAUGAUGACAACAAUAAUCAACCAGUGACAGCAGGGCAACAAGAACACCAUAAAUAUUGCUCAACAAAUAAUGAAUACAAGUACAACUAAUUAAUCAAAUCCUUCAAAUAUAAAUUCGCCUAAUCUCUUUCAAAUAUAAUUCUUUCAAAUAAAUAUCUUUCGAAUAAAAGUCACCAUGUGACACCUUAUUUCAAAAUCAUAAAAAUACGUGUCUCAGCCCCCUUUCAUAUUUCCACGGCACCUCGAGCCAAUUUCUCUAUCACAACCGCACGAAAAACUCACGUGCCAAUAUCAUCAUUAUUUACUCAUGACACCUCGUGCCCACAUUUCAUAUCAUAACUGCAUGGACAAUUUAUGUGCCAAUAUCAUCAUUAUUUACUCACGACACCUCGUGCCCACAUUUCAUUUCAUAAUCUGCCUGGCAAUAGCCACAUGCUCCCAAUUUCAACAUAGAUCACACUAUUAUCAAUUUACCAACAACAAGACAAAUUGCAUAAGAUAUAAAAAUAAACACAAGGAAAAUUAUAACAUCACAUGAAAAUUACCAACGCAAUAACCCCACAUCAUCACAUAAAUAUUACCAACACAAUAACUCCACAUCAUCACGUAUCAUCCCUGACAAUAGCCAACCUUAUCUCUCCAAUAGCCACCCUUAUCACUCCUAUAAUUACCUCCCUUAUCCCUCAAUAGCCACCCUUAUCGCUCCUAUAGCCACCCUUAUCGCUCCUAUAGCCACCCUUAUCGCUCUGUAUAAUAGCCACCCUUAUCACUCCGCCCAAACAAUAUCCCAACACACAUAACCAAGGUGAAAUACCACCCUUAUACCCACAUUAUAUCAACAGUGAAAUGCCACCCUUAUAUCCUCAUAAUAAUAACUCAAAUCACACAAUAAUUUACACGGAAUAUUAUCACGACAACACAACACAAUCAAUUCUUAUCACAAUUUCCCCAACAACUACAACCAAUUCCAAUGAUAUAGUAAAAUCAAUAAAUUUCUCAAAAAUAGUCCAAGGCUCCACACAACGUAUAUAAAACCUCAAAAACAAUCAACAGAGAUAGAAAAUACUCAGUAUAGGGCAACACCUUCAUUAAUCCAAAUUCUUGAUAAUUAUAUUAACGCCUCAGUUUAAACUUAGUUCAUUAAUUAUUUGCACAUGAAUAUCCAUAAUAUAAUUAUUUUCAGGAAAUAUCAAAUCAACAAACUCCCAGAAUUUACAUAAAUAUUCAAGUAACAAUCACAUCAAAUUGUCAUAUAAAAACAAAAUCAACAAACAAGGAUUGAGGCAUGACAAAUAGAUGAUUUAAUAAAUGCCAACAAUUAUCCAACACAAUAAUGCCUAAAACUUUAACCCAAUAAAAUUUGCACAUAUAAGCCCGAGUACGUACUCGUCACCUCGCGUACACGGCUUUUCACAUUUCACAAAUGGCACAUAAGACUCGAUGCCUAAGAGGUAAUUCCCCCACUCAAGGUUAGGCAAGAUACUUACCUUUUAGAAGUUAUGCCGAUAUUUCAAAAUUGCCUUCUUGCUUGAAUUGACCUCCGGACAGCUCAAAUCUAUCCAAAUUAAUUGUAUAACUUCAUUAAAAUUCAUCGAAAAUAAUUCCGGAUAAUAAAAUGUCAACUUAAAAUAUCAUAUUAAAAAGUCAACGCGGGGACCGCCUCUCGGAACCCGACAGAAUUUUCACGAAUUUCGAACACCCAUUCCGAUACGAGUUCAGCCAUACCAAAUUUAUCAAAUUACGAUAACGAAUCGACCUCCAAUCUUAAAUUUUCGUUUUAUAAAAUUUCUAUAAUUUCUCCCAAAUUUGCAUCUCAAAAUACUAAUUAAAUGAUGAAAACAGUGAUAUAUUCAUGUAUAUUAACCAAAUCCGAGUUAGAAUCACUUACCUCAAUGAUUUUCUUGAAAAUCCCACGAAAUAUCACCACAAACCGAGCUCCCAAAGUCUAUUUUCUAUCUUUUUAAUAGCUAGUAGCUUCAUGCAACUUCUAUUUUGGUUUGGACAUCUUGUAAGCUUUGGACCCAUUUUGGGGUUUUAUUUAUAUAUUAGCCACUAGGCAAGUGCUGCCGAGUGGUAUAGUUGCUUAAAAAAAAGUUCAAAAAUAAAAAAUGAGAUGAAACCCUCGUUUAUAUAGUACAAAAUCUGAUCCCUAUUGUGCUGACCGCACAAAAUAUGCGGUCGCACUCCAAAUUGUGCGGCCGCACUCCAAAUUGUGCGGCCGCACUUCUGCAGCUCUGCACUACCAGGCUUUAGUAAAUUGACCAUAACUUUCUCUACAAAUGUCCAAAUGAUGAUUAGUUGACCUUUCUUGAAAUUUGAUUCAAAGGGCUACAACUUUCGCGUUCGAAGCAUCUCCAAAGUCAUUGUAGAUUAAAAGAUAUAAGCCUCUGAAGUCGGACGAGAGAACUAGCGAAAUUACCUUUCUGCGGCCGCGAGAAGAAUUUUGCGGAACGCAAAAUUUCAACCGCGGACAGCACAAUUUCAAGUGCGGUCCGCACAAUUACCACUUCCUCCGCACUUUGGGAGUUUGCGGCCGCACAUCCGUACUCCAAAAGGUGCCCUCCACUCUUCAACUGUCCCAAAACAUCAUCAGAGUGCCAAAAUGCCCAAAUUCGUUCAAAACUCACCCCGAAACUCACCCGAGCCACUCGGGACCUCAACCAAACAUACCAACAAGUCCUAAAAUAUAACACGGACCUUCUCGAGGCCUCAAACCACAUCAAACAAUGUCAAAACUACGAAUCACACCACAAAUCAAACUCAUAAAUUUCCAAAUCUUCCAACUUCCAAAACUCGUACCGAAACAUAUCAAAUCAAUCAGAAAUGACUUCAAAUUUUGUGAGGUCGUUUGCUCAAAAGUCAACUCUCCGGUCAACUCUUUUCUUUUAAGCUUCUUAAAUAAGAAAUUUUCUUUCAAUUUAAUCCCGAAUCAUCCGAAAACCAAACUCGACCACACACGCAAGUCAUAAUACACAUCAAAAGCUGCUCAUGACCUUAUGUCGCUGAACGAGACACUAAUUAUUAGAACGACAAGUCGGGUCGUUACAAUAACGUUGUUGUUCCUUCAAAAAAAAUGUUACUAUUUCUUUGUUGAUAAGAAAAAUUACCUCUACCAUGACCUCGAAAGUUACUUCUACCACGACCUCUACCUCUGAAAUUCUGGACUCUUUGAUUUGUUUCUUUAGGAUAACUUGUCUCUUCUUUUGCUUUAGGUUGCUUCACCUUUGCUUUCAACGCCUCCUCCACUAUUUCGGGUGUGUCUUGAGUCAGGGACAUCUCAUAUGUCACCAAUUCACCUUCUAAAUCAUCAAGUGUAAAAGUGCUAAGAUCUUUGGUAGCCUCAAGAACCACCUUCUUCGUGUGAAAUUUUAUACUCAAGGACCGCAAUAUUUUUUCAACCACUUUUAACUUCAUCUAGUACUUAUCCAUUGGUCCUCAUGCCAUUGACUAUAUUAGUAAUUCUUUUAAUGAAUUAUUUAACGGGCUCUGUUGGUUUCAUUUGGGCCAACUCGUACUGUCUUCUUAGCUUUUGAAAUUUGACUUUCUUUACUUCGGUGGAACCUCGAUGUGAAUUCACCAAGAUUGUCCGAGCCUCCUUUGUUGAUUUUGCAUGAAAAUAUUUAUUAGAUACACGUAAUUCAACCUUGUUGGUGAGAUAGUAACGUGCCUUAUAAUUCAAUUAUCUAUUUUUUUCAAAUUGCAUAGCCGCAUCACCUGUUAAUGUUGUACCUUCUGGGGGUUCCUCAAAUCCUAUUUCAAUAAUGGGCCAUAAUCCAACAACAUUGAAAAAAUAUUUCAUAUAUUGAUGCAGUCUUCAAAGUUAUUUUUUGCCAUCAAACUUGAAAACGUGGCAAUCAUGUAAAUAUGGAGUAUCCAUAAUGUUUUUAGGAUCUUCACCGACUCUAACAAAAUCUCACACAGGCUCUGAUACUAAUUUGAAGGAUUGAAAUACCCGAAGAAUAAUUUAGGCACAAGCAAAAAAUUCAACAAAGACUAUAUAGAAAUGUAAUUACACGACAUGUCAUUUUGAGCAUUUGCACUUCGCUCGGUAGUUUAUAGGCAUGCGUAGCUCCGUAUGAUGUAUUAUGACUUAUGUGAAUCGCCGGUUUUGGUUUUCAGGUAAUUCGGAAUUGAUUUGGAAGAAUGAAUUUCAUUGUUGAAGCUUUAAGUUGAAAGAGUUGACCAAGUUUGACUUUUUAUGAAUUAGACCACGAAACAGAGUUUUGAUGGUUCUGUUAUGUCCGGAUGGUGAUUUUGGACUCGGGCAUAUGCUCGAAUUCGCAUUUGGAUGUUUCUAGAAGGUUUCGGUACAAAUUGGCGAAAAUUGGGAAUUUGAAGGUUUGGAAAGUUCAAAAGUUUGACCGAGCAUUGACUUGUGGAUAUCGAGUUCGGAUUAUGGUUUAGGGAGUUGUAAUAGCUUCGUUAUGUCAUUUGGGACUUGUGUGAAAAAUUUGGAUUCAUUCCGAAUUGAUUUGCUAUGUUUUGGCACGAGUUUUGGAGGUUGAAAAAUUCAAAGUUCAUUAAGUUCGAUUUGAGGUGCGAUUCAUCAAUUCGAUGUUGUUAUGCAUGAUUUGAGGCCUCGACUAGGUCCGUGUUAUGCUAUUGGGCUUGUUGGUAUAUUCGUACGGGGUCCCGAGUGGCUCGGAUGAAAUUCGGACGAGGUUCAGAUCAUUUUCGUUGCAUAGUGCAUUGCUGAAGGCUGCUGGUUCUAGUGUGAUCGCACCUACGGCUGGUUCUGUGCAGGUGUGAUGGAUGCAGAAGAGACAAAGGCGUCGUAAAGGUGAGGUGAGUGCUGGGUGAGAAAGACUAUAAAAGCAGAGAUUUGGGCGCAUAUGCGGAUGCGCAGAUGCGAAGUGAUGGAGCGUAGGAGCAAGGUAUUUCACAGGUGCGGAUGGUGGCUCACGCUUGCGAUGUCGCAGAAGCGGAUAUUUUGCCCGCAGGUGCGAGGGUCGAGUUCUCAACUGAUUCCAUAGAAGAGGAGGUUAUGUUGCAGGAGCGACGCCGCAGAAGUGGCUAAUGUGCCGCAGGUGCGAAAAUGCUAGCAGAAGCUAUAAAUCGAGGGUUUUGGUUUUUUUCUUCAUAUUUUGAGAUGUGGGACAAGGAUUGAGGCAAUAUUUGGAGCGAAUUUCAUCACAAGAAUUGGGGUAAGUAUUUUUCACUUGGUUUUGAUCUUAUUCCACGAAUCUAUCUUCAUUUUUGGCAAUUGGUUGAUGAAUCUUAUAGAGAAAUUGGGGGGUUUAGCCUAAAGUUUCAUAAAAUCAAUUUUUUAGUUUUGAACACCGAUUCAGAGUCGUAUUUGAAUGAAACUAGUAUGGUUGGACUCGUAAUUGAGUGGGUCGUCUAAUUUUGUGAGUUUUGUCAGGUUCCAAGGCGCGGUCUCAGGUCUGAUUUUUGGCCGGUUUUGGGUUUUGAUUAAGCAUUCGAUCUUUAUCAUUUGGAAUUGUUUUCUUGGGCUUUAUUUGAUGUAUUUGAGUUGCUUUUGACUAGCUUUGAGCCGUUCAGAGGUCGGUACGUGCAAGAUGGCAUUUUGGAGCAUCGCUUGGCUUGCUCGGUAUUGGAAUUGGCUUGUUCGAGGUAAGUAACACUUCUAAACUUAGUACUAAGUGUAUGAAACCCCGAAUUACGUGCUAUGUGGUCGAUGUUGAGGUGACAUACAUGCUAGGUGACAGGCGUGUGGGCGUGCACCGUGUGAAAUGUGACUCCGUUAUUCUGUGGUACUGUGUAGUUACCCGAUCUUACCUGUAACCAUGAAAUUUCUACGUUCUUGAGCUAUAGAGAUGUGAUCCAUGUUAGAAACCAUAUCUAGGCUACUUGCUUAUCCUGUUGGGACCUACUGAGGUCAUUUUUAUUGUUGAGUUAUCUGCUUUCAUUGCAUAACAUACUCAGUCAUACACAUUCAUAUACAUAUCAUAUCUCAGUCUUUAUUGCUAUUUAUUAAUACAUCAUAUCAUCAUUUUCGGGUUAGUUUCAUGACAUUCUGAGCCCACGAGAGAGAGACUGGAGGGAUUGAUGACUGAGUGAAGCCAAGGGCCUGAUUAUGAGUGACAUUAUGGAUCAGGCUGCACGCCGCAGCGGUUAUACUGAUUUAUGAUAGUGCUUGGGCUGAAGGAUCCUCUCCGGAGUCUGUACACACCCCUAGUGAGUGCGAUUGAUUUAUAUUGGGGGAUGGAUCUUUCCUGGACAUGUAUCUUGUCCGAAGCAUUUAUACCUGGGGAUGAAUCUUUCCCACGAGAUGGAUUGGCCCUACUCAGUACGAAGUGAGUGAUUAUCAGUUGAUGUAUACAUUUCAGGAUGGAUCUUCCCUUGGCCGGAUUGGCCAUAUACAAUACUGAGUGAUUGAUCAUGAUGAGUGGAAAGUGUGAGCCAGUAAGAUUGAGUACUCUAAGAGUGUGAGUACAUGAGUUCAUCUCUGAGAUACAUUGUAUUGACAUGUACACAUGAUAUACAUGCAUAGAGAUGUAUUUUCCUCAUGCUGUAUGGUAUCACGUAAUUCAUGACUUCUCACACAUAUUGGCAUAUGGGCAUAGGGAUGCAUUUUACAUUGGCUAUCUGAAAAGAAAAUGAAACAUCUUAUUUAUUGUUGAGAGGAAUUUUGGGAAAAUUAUUGUUUUCAACUUACUCAUACUUUUGGCAACUUCGGUAAACGACUUGGGUUUUCAUUGAUAUACUUGAAAGGCAGAACUAUUUUCCGGGAAACUAUGAAUAAGCGGAGUAUUUCAUCUCUGAAUUACUUCUUAUAUUAUUGUCUUUACAUUGUUACGAACUGUUGUUGGCUAUUGGUGUUGGACCCGACGUUGUUCCAGUUCGUCACUACUUUCAGCCUAAGGUUAGGUUUGUUACUUAUUGAGUACAUGAGGUUAGUUGUACUCAUACUACACUUCUGCACCUUGCGUGCAGAUGUUGACUGAUGAUGUUGCUGUGUUCGAUGGAAGUUGGACUUGAAGACGUACAUGCGUUCCGGUUGCAGCUGUCUCUUGUUCAUGGUAGCCUUAGAUUCAUAAAACUUUGUUUAUGUACUUUUCGUACUGAUGAUGUAUUUAUUUCAUACCAGCUUUGUAAAUUCUAUUCUUAGAAGUUCAUGAUUUGUACUACCAGUCCUUGAAGAAUGUAUAAGAUUCAGAUAAUCUCUUCUAUUUAAUUGUUUUAUUAAUUUCAUUGGAAUUGAAUAUUGUUAAUUGGCUUACCUAGCGGGUUGGGGCAAGGUGCCAUCACUACUAGUUGGAUUUUGGGUCGUGACAGAUUGGUAUCAGAGUUCUAGGUUCAUAGGUUCUACAAGUCAUGAGCAAGUGUCUAGUAGAGUCUUGUGGAUCGGUAUGAUGACGUUCAUACCUAUCUUCGAGAGGCUACAGGGAAAUUAGGAUAUAUACUUCCCAUCUUUCUUUCCUAUCGUGCGAAAUUGAUUCAGCUUGAGACAUAACUCUUUGAAUUCCUUCCACACAUUUGUAUGCGCAUGUGAGCGCUCGGUAUCAGCUGUGCAUCUACUGCUUGUGAUUCCAUGGAUGAGGUGCGAGAUGUGAUUUCUGUGUGCUGAUAAAGGGCUAUUCUGGAGGACUUGAGGUCGGGUUUUGACUGUAGCUUGCGCGCGAAGAUUUCGGUUGUGUGAGCAUAUGCUUUAGGACUUAGACGUCCGGUAGUGUCUCUAUGAGUGGAACUUGUGACUAGAUGAGUGAUUGGAUGGCUAUAUGAUGAGUAUGAAAUGACUGCGGGAUAUGUUUCGAUAGAUCGAAUUUGACGAGAAGAGUUUUUUUGUGAUGUAAAAUAGACUAUUUGGUGCUUGAUUUCUGUCCUGAUUUGAUGUACAGUCUCGGGUUAUGGGUGUGUUGAAGGAUCUUUCAUGAUGGUUAAUUGUGGAACGAAUUAGGUUCUUAUACCUUGUUGGUGAGUUCAGACUCGGGAAGAUUAAGUGAUUGCGUAGUAGUUAUGGCUGUGAAAGGGUAUAAAGAGAUGUCAGUUGAGGCUAAGCAGGUAUGUUAUAACCUGCGAGGUCAUCUACGGAUGCGUGAUUUUUAUGAUAUUGUGUGGAGGAUUUCUUAUCCACCCGUGGGUUAUAAUUGUGCUAUUUGAGUUUGGAUCGGUUGUAGUAGUUGACCUACCUGUCACAAGGGGGAAUGCGAGAUUUGCAGAUAAUUUGAAGUAUUAGAUGGUUUGUGUUACAGGAGCUCAUGAAGGAUUUUGUUGAAUCUCGUUGCGGUGUUAUGGCAGUAAUAGAGUAUGGGCAUUGUGAGUUAUUAUGUGUUUUGAUCUAUGGCUUUGGGCCAAGUGAGGGAGUCUGCUAUCGAUAAGUUGAUGGAACGAUUAUGUGUUGUAUUGGUUUCGGUUUGAGGUAUACUUGUGAAUCAGUUAUGACUUGCAGAGGUUGAGUUAUAAAAUGACUCGAGUAAGGAAAUUUCUGGAUACGGGUUAUGUUACACUUUAUGGGUAUAUGGGAAACAUUGAAUGAUUGAGUUGAUAUUUGUAAAUGAUGUACUUUGCAUGGAGUAGGGAUUCACUCAGUUACUUAGAAGUGUGGAAUAUACAUUUCAGUAUCACGAAGGUGAAGGAAACAGUUUUAGGUUCACAUAAAGUCUUUUCAGAGCGGGUGUCUCGGUUGUAGUGCUUUUGGGGUACUUAAGAGGCAAUUCAGCGGCUUAUGGGCCUUAGGGCGUUGUGGUUUUAUGCUAGGGUUGUGGUGAUCAUGGUAUUUUAGCAAGGAGAAGUAUCAAUUUGAAGACAAAUUUGGAAGGGACUCGGAGAAAUAGGACAGCUUGGUAGUAGGUUGGAUCAACACGGUAAUGGAUAUGAUCGGUUCUUUGGGUGCUUAUGAUGUGAGGGGUUUCUACAGGUGCUUUGUGGCAAUACUCUUGGGUUUGGUGACCUGUGUGGCUUGGUUGAUUUAGAGAGAUUCAGUUCUGAUAGCUUGAUUCUGUGUAAAUGGAUUCCAAAGAAUUCUCGAGGAUUUCUACCACGGUUUGAGAUGGAUAUUUCCUACCGGCAUGAGGAACAUGUUGAGUAUUGUGAGUUUCUACCGGAUGGGAUCAAAUGGAAGGCUUCUGGCUGAUCAGAUAUGUAUUCUACUUGUGACUCAGAAUGAUUAUGAGGUUCUCAUAUUUUUCAUAUGAUGGCAUGAUAUAUGCGGUGUGUUGUGUGGGAUUAAGGUUUGCGCGUGCAAGGUAACGAUUUAGUUUUGAAGGGGAGGUCAUAAGUUCUUUGAUGGCAUGUACGGUUUUCGAUGUUUAGAUGAAUGCUAUAACUAUUUGGUAUUGCGUGAGUAGAGUGUACAUUUCAGAAGGCGUACUAUAUUUUGAAUUAUGGAUAUUUCAUAGGUAUUGCGACACUCUCCUGGUUGAUCACUUGCCGAUUUUAAGAUGUUGCUAUGUGGCACGAAAGAAUGGGAGAAGUAUUCCUCAUGGGAUGAACAUGUAUGGGAGAUGUGUUAGACAUUCGGGCGGUGGAGAUGGGAUCAGAUAUAAUGAUUCGUGUGUUCAAUGGAUUUUUUAGAUUGGGAGUUUUCAUGAGCAGAUUGUUUCAUGGUUGUGGAUUAUGAAGUCAUGGCCGAAGCUAUCCAGAUGAUAGUAUGUGUUAUGAUUCAGUCAUUGUGGACUUUCAGAGGGUUAUUUAUCUAUUUGUGGGUGACAGAGUUGAUUUGGGGGUCCAUUGGUAGGCCCAAUUAGGAUGUGUAUUCUACACCGAGUCGGAUUGGUUGGCUCCAUACUGCUAUUGUUGAGGGAUGUGCCAUUCGGUUGAUGUUGAACUUAUUCGUGUUCUGAAAUGAUCUGUGAGUUACUCUUCUAUGCUACGAGGAGUUGUGAUUCAUUGGUUAUAUGCACACAUGGUGCGGUUCUAUUGAGGGCUUUAUAGCAGAAUUUGAGUGAGAUGAGUAUUUGGAUAUUGCCUGAUUGAUUGCGUAUUGGUUAUGUUCUUUCAGGUUUUGUGUGGAAUUGUGUCAUUUGCCUCUCCGUGGUUAUUGAUUUUGAGCAGGGUGGCUCGAGGUAUAUAAUAUGGACCAGCGUUUGGAUGGAGUCACGCAUUGCAACGGAGUUGUGUUAAGGUAUGUACCUUGUGUUAGAAUCAUGUGAUGGUUCUACAUUUUGUUUUGGAUUUUCAGCAUUUCGUUGUGGCGGUACUUUUUAAUCUUGCGGGGUAGUUCUCUCAUUUGAGUAAUUUUCCAUUACUAAGUACAUUUGAAUUGUUGCGUAUUGGUGCACGAAUGGCACGGUUUGUGGCUCUGGGCAGUAUUGGUGUGACAUGUUAGUAGAGUAGCUGGUAUUUGAUAAGAUGAGGUCGUCGGACCUAGAAUGGGUGCUAUCGGAUCUGAUUGCGGUAUAUUUGAAAGGAUAAUGUUGCUGAUCAGCUUAGAAAUUGGCUAUAGUUCUUGUUGAAGGAGAGGGAGCUCCAUGACUUGUUGAUCUGAUGAAUGGUUAUGAGUUUUUGCGUGUCUCUUUCAUCAUCGGCAGUGUACGAAGGUUUUUUAACGAGGUUUUGUUUGAUAUGAGGUUUAUUACCAGCAUUGGGUUGUUUUGAGCAACUACUGUGAUUGGAAAUUUUGCCAUGAGUAUUUGAGUUAUGUGAUAUUUCCGGUGAUUGUGUCUUGGGUUAUUGGUUAUGGCUUGAUGCAGUUUGUUCAGAAUUAUACAGUAUAUGGAUGCGAGAUUCGGGUCUUAAAGGAAGUUCCGGAUGUAGGAAAUUGGAUUCUAAGGCUUAUGGGCUAGGUCGAAUUAAGUAAUUUCAGUUAUGUUGUGUUAUCAGACAUAUAUAGGAUAGGGUGACGUGGGAUCACCCCCGGGUAUAUGCAUGGUAAGGUUACACGGUGGUUUGAUGGCUUUGGGAACAACUCUUGGCACAUUCGAGGACAAACGUAUGUUUAAGUGGGGGAGGAUGUAACGACCCGAUCGAUCGUUUUGAGCAUUUGCACUUCGCUCGAUAGUUUACAGGCAUGAGUAGCUCCUUAUUAUGUAUUAUGACUUAUGUGAAUCGUCGGUUUUGGUUUUCAGGUUAUUCGGAAUCGAUUAGGAAGAAUGAAUUUCAUUGUUGAAGCUUUAAGUUGAAAGAGUUGACCAAGUUUGACUUUUUUGUGAAUUUGACCCCAGAACUGAGUUUUGAUGGUUCCGUUAGGUCCGGAUGGUGAUUUAGGACUUAGGGCAUAUGCCCGUAUUCGCAUUUGGAUGUUUCUAGAAGGUUUCGGUAUAAAAUGGCAAAAAUUAGGAAUUUGAAGGUUUGGAAAGUUCAAAAGUUUGACCGAGAGUUGACUUGUGGAUAUCGGGUUCGGAUUGUGGUUUCGGGAGUUGGAAUAGCUUCGUUAUGUCAUUUGGGCUUGUGUGCAAAAUUUGGGUUCAUUCCGGAUUGAUUUUCUAUGUUUCAGCACGAGUUUUGGAGGUUGAAAAAUUUAAAAGUUUAUUAAGUUUGAUUUGAGGUACGAUUCGUCAAUUCGAUGUUGUUAUGUAUGAUUUGAGGCCUCGAGUAGGUCCGUGUUAUGUUAUUGGACUUGUUGGUAUAUUCGUACGGGGUCUCGAGUGGCUCUGAUGAAAUUCAGACGAGGUUCGGAUCACUUUUGUUGCAUAGUGCAUUGCUGAAGGCUGCUGGUUUUGGUGUGAUCGCACCCGCGAUUGGUUUUGCGUAGGUGCGAUGGCCGCAGAAGUGACAAAGGCGUCACAGAGGCGAGGUGAGUGUUGUUUGAGGAAGACCGCAGAAGCGGAGAUUUGGGCGCAUAUGCAGAUGCGCAUGAGCGAAGUGAUGGAGUGUAGGAGCAAGGUAUUUCACAGGUGCGGAUGGUGGCUCGCACAUGUGAUGUCGCAGAAGCGGAUAUUUUGUCCACAGGUACGAGGAUUGAGUUCUCAACUGAUUCCGUAGAAGAGGAGGUUAUGUCGCAGAAGCGACGCCACAGAAGCGGCUAAUGUGCCGCAGGUGCGAAAAUGUUGGCAGAAGCUAUAAAUCAAGGGUUUUGGUUUUUUCUUCAUAUUUUGAGAUGUGGGACUCGGAUUGAGGCGAUUUUUGGAGAAAAUUUCCUCACAAGGAUUGGGGUAAGUAUUCUACACUUGUUUUGAUCUUAUUCCACGAAUCUAUCUUCAUUUUUGGCAAUUGGUUAAUGAAGUUUAAAGAGAAAUUGUGGGUUUUAGCUUAAAGUUUCAUAAAACGAAUUUUUGAGUUUUGAACACCGAUUCAGAGUCAGAUUUGAAUGAAACUAGUAUGGUUGGACUCGUAAUUGAGUGGGUUGUCGGAUUUUAUGAGUUUUGUCGGGUUCCGAGGCACGGGCCCAGGGGUGACAUUUGACCGGUUUUGGAUUUUGAUUAAGGAUUCGAUCUUUAUCAUUUGGAAUUGUUUUCUUGUGCUUUAUUUGAUGNNNNNNNNNNNNNNNNNNNNNNNNNGACCGGUUUUUGGAUUUUGAUUAAGGAUUCGAUCUUUAUCAUUUGGAAUUGUUUUCUUGGGCUUUAUUUGAUGUAUUUGAGUUGCUUUUGGCUAGUUUUGAGCCGUUCGUAGGUCGGUACGCGCGAGAUGGCAUUUUGGAGUAUCGCUUGGCUUGCUCGGUAUUGGAAUUGGCUUGUUUGAGGUAAGUAACACUUCUAAACUUAGUGCUGAGUGUAUGAAAACCCGAAUUACGUGUUAUGUGGUCGAUGUUGAGGUGACGUACAUGCUAGGUGAUAGGCGUGUUGGGGUGCACCGUGUGAAGUGUGACUCCGUUAAUCUGUGGUACUGCGUAGUUACCUGAUCUUACCUGUAACCAUGAAAUUUCUACGUUCUUGAGCUAUUGAGCUGUGAUCCAUGUUAAAAACCAUGUCUAGGCUACUUACUUAUCCUGUUGGGACCCACCGAGGUCAUUUCUGUUGUUGAGUUAUCUGCUUCUAUUGCAUUACAUACUCAGUCAUACACAUUCAUAUGCAUAUCAUAUCUCAGUCUCUGUUGCUAUUUAUUGAUACAUCAUAUCAUCAUUUUCGGGUUAGUUUCAUGACAUUGUGAGCCCGCGAGAGAGAGACUGGAGAGAUUGAUGACAGAGUGAGGCCAAGGGCCUGAUUAUGAGUGACAUUAUGGGAUCAGGAUGCACGCCGCAGCGGUUAUACUGAUUUAUGAUAACGCUUGGGCUGAAGGAGCCCCUCAGGAGUCUGUACACACCCUAGUGAUUGCGAUUGAUUUAUAUUGAGGGAUGGAUCUUCCCUAGAUAUGGAUCUUGUCCGAAGCAUUUAUAUUGAGGUAUGGAUCUUCCCUGGACAUGUAUCUUGUCCGAAGCAUUUAUACCUGGGGAUGGAUCUUCCCCACGGGCUGGAUUGGCCCUACUCAAUACUGAGUGACUGAUGAUCAAUUGAUGUAUACAUUCCGGGAUGGAUCUUCCCCACGGGCUGGAUUGGCCCUACUCAAUACUGAGUGACUGAUGAUCAAUUGAUGUAUACAUUCCGGGAUGGAUCUUCCCUGGGCCGGAUUAGCCAUAUAGAGUACUGAGUGAUUGAGCAUGAUGAGUGAAAAGUGUGAGCCAGUAAGAUUGAGUACUCUCAGAGUGUGAGUACAUGAGUUCAUCUAUGAGAUACAUUGCAUUGACAUGCACACAUGAUAUACAUGCAUAAAGAUGUAUUUUCCUCAUAUUGUAUGGUAUUAUGUCAUUCAUGACUUCUCACACAUAUUGGCAUAUGAGCAUAGAGAUGCAUUUUACAUUGGCUACCUGGAAAGAAAAUGAAACAUCUUAUUUAUUGUUGAGAGGAUUUUUGGAAAAAUUACUGUUUUCAAACUUACUCAUACUUUUGGCAAUUUCGGUAAACGACUUGGGUUUUCACUGAUAUACUUGAAAGGCAGAUCUAUUUUCCGGGAAACUAUGAAUAAGGUGAGCAUUGCAUCUCUGAAUUACUUCUUUUAUUACUUGCUUUACGUUAUUACGAACUGUUGUUGGCUAUUGGUGUUGGACCCGACCUUGUUCCAGCUCGUCACUACUUUCAACCUAAGGUUAGGUUUGUUACUUAUUGAGUAUAUGGGGUCGGUUGUACUCAUACUACACUUCUGCACCUUGCGUGCAGAUGUUGACUGAUGAUGUUGUUGUGUUCGACGGGAGCUGGACUUGAAGACGUACCUGCGUUCCGGUUGUAGCUGCCUCUUGUUCAUGGGAGUCUUAGAUUCAUAAAACUCUGUUUAUGUACUUUUCGAACAGAUGAUGUAUUUAUUUCAUACCAACUUUGUAAAUUCUAUUCUUAGAAGCUCAUGAUUUGAGCUAUUCUUAAUUUGCUUACCUAGCGGGUUGGGGUUAGGUGCCAUCACGACUAGUUGGAUUUUUGGUCGUGACAAGAAGAAAUUUAUUAAACUAGGGAGAAAACGUGGUAGGAGAUUUUUUCACUAUUCAUAAACUCUUGAAUCUCUCUACAAGAAAACAAGUUGUUGCACCCAUAUUUAUAAUACUACAAAAUCAAAAACCUAUUCCAAUAUAAAAUUAGUAAACAAAGCCUAACUAGACAUGAAUUAAAUAAACUAUCAAAUAUCAAAUUUUAGACAAC
rnacentral:lncRNA from 1 species